rnacentral:rRNA from 1 species
GGUUAAGCGACUAAGCGUACACGGUGGAUGCCCUGGCAGUCAGAGGCGAUGAAGGGCGUGCUAAUCUGCGAUAAGCGCCGGUAAGGUGAUAUGAACCGUUAUAACCGGCGAUACCCGAAUGGGGAAACCCAGUGUGACUCGUCACACUAUCAUUAACUGAAUCCAUAGGUUAAUGAGGCGAACCGGGGGAACUGAAACAU